UCUAGUUUAUGUUAAGUGACCCAUAGGUUGAGGAGGUGGUGAGCGUGGCGGUGAAGGAGGAUGAGGUAGCCAACACUGUUUUUUAUAUAUAUAUAUAUAAUUUAAUUGGGGUAGCCCCCAAAAUAUUGGGACAUUUAAAAAAAGACAACACACACACAGAGUAGCUGUUGACAUUAUAGUUGCACAGGCACUUUGUUGACUCUAGAGAACUUUGAGCCAAUCACACAUCCCUGUGGCGUCGACUUUGCAUGCGGAUGUCAUCCAUAUCAACUUUCGAUGCCAGUUUCUGCGUCUACAAUGGUGACCACGGGUAAUGGGGUAUCAGGGUUCCAUUCCGUACAGAGACCCUGAGAAACGGCUACCACAUGCAAGGAAGGCAGCAGGCGCGCAAAUGACCCACUCCCGACGUGGGAAGGUAGUGACGACAAAUAACAAUACAGGACUCUUUAGAGGCCCUGUUAUUGUAAUGAGUCCACUUGAAAUCCUUUAACUCUGAUCAUUUGGAGGGAAGUCUGGUGCAGAGCCACUGACCUGUGCGUGCUGCAGCUGAAACUCCACUAUCACCUGCUGCUCGCACAGACUCAUGAGGCGGUGAGCGGGAAGGCAGAAGUUAAGCUCCAGCA
rnacentral:rRNA from 1 species